AAAAAACAGCUCCAAAGAAGCAGCUGAAAGAGCACAAAGACACAACAGGAAAAGAAAAUCUUCAGUCUCACAAUGUGACGAGAGAAAAAGUGACCCACACGCCAAAAGUAAUGAAAGAGUUUGAUGAAGUUCCAUCUUCAAAAAAACCCAAAGAGGAAACUGAAGACAUGACUUCCAUGAAGAAAGCAAAAACUCCCAUCAGUUUCUUCCAGUGUGUCUACUUGGAUGGGUACAACGGAUACGGAUUCCAAUUUCCUGUUACACCAGCACACCAACCUGAGAGCUCUAGUCACUCAAAAUCACCAGGACAGAAGCAACAAGGGCAAUAGGCAUGCGUGUUUGGACCUGCAAGCUUGUAAGAUUCUGAGUGUUAGAUCUUCCCUUGUGAUCCACUGGAGUACUUCCAGUGUGACCCAUUGGGUCAUUUGUAUUUGCAAACAUUUUAUUUCCUCAUCUGGUACUAUAAAAAAUGUGGAUAAGGUGACUGAAAAUCGAAGUAGGAAUACUGAAGCACCUCAUGUCGGGAUUGGUGCUCAAAGAGCUCCUGUUAAAUUGUGUGGUUUUAUUGUUGUUGUGUGUGCAUUUAAUUGCCUGUACAAUUCUACUUUCUUUUUCCCUGUGUACAGGUUUUUCUGUUAACAUGGACAAUUUUUCAAUCCUGUGUAAACCUAAGCUUUGAGUCACUCAGUAAGGUAGAGCUAAAGAGCUUAACCUUGUUUACACAUAUUUGUAUUUAUGUUGUGACCACAGAACCAAGACAUCUUUACUACACCAUUUUAUUUAAGAUCCUCAUGGGCCUUUUUCAGCGCUCAAAGAAAAUGGUAAAUAUGUCAUAGAAUACAAUCCAACAGACAUUUAUUAAGCACCUACUGUAUACUAAUAGCACUGUGCCAGGUACUGAGGAUACAGUGACAAAUAUGAAACAGUCCUUGCCCUCAAGGAGUUUACAUUCUACUGCCUGAUAAGUCUAUCUACAGUUUAUAUUAUGCCAUAUUCACCAGCAGCACUGCACAAUUCAUUUGGAUGGUACUGGUGGAUUGUUUGUUUACUGUUUUUAGGCAAACACAACAUGACAUUUCCAGACAUCUCCAGAUAGCAUUAUAUAGCCAAAAAAAAUGCCGACUGGAAGAAACUUCACAGUAAUCCCUGAGAAUAGGUAAUAUAUGGCAAACAUAUUUUCAUUCACUUUGAUAAAUCCUUUCUGAGGAGUUUGUUCUCUCAAAGUGGAAAUACUUGAAUGUCAACAAAGAUGGAGGAAGGCACUUCAGAUGGAAGUGCUGCUCCUAGAGCACUUUAUUUAUUUUUUCUAGACAGUCAAUCAUCAGAGCUAGGGAAAGGGAUAACAUGACUUUGAACCUCAUGAGAGUGUUUCACUGGAAAUGGGAUGUUGAUGGUCGUGCUCCCUUUUGGCCUCCCUAGAGCUGUAAAUACCAAUGUUUCUUGACCACAUUUCUCCAUGGACACUAAAAUCCAUAUAGCUGUGACCUUCAUCGCACUUACAGUUCCUAUCUGAUUUAUGAUAGAGUAACUCAGAAAAUAGAGUUAUUCUUGCUAUAACUUAACUUCAUCUCAAAGAUCUGAGACAGCCAGGAUCAGCCCUAGCUUAAGUAAACCAUUGACUUUCAUGGGAUGCAAAUGAUUGUGGUUUUAUAGGUCAGAAAAUUUAUUUUACAAUCAAAUCAUUAAGCAAAUGUCUUAUUGCCAUGAAUAAGUAUGCUAAGAAUAAUUUGGUGGUCUUAAGCAAGAUGAUAAAACAUUCACACCCCAAAUGUCACUAUUACAACUAAUCGAUACUGAUUAUGUUCCUUAUAGUGGGACCCAGAUUAGGUCAAUCCAAAACUAAGUUGAUUUUCACAGCAAAGGGUAGUCAGUUUCUCCAAGGUAGAGCUGAAGUAUGUGGAUGGGACAGUGUUUGAUGUUUACUUUCUAAUGACAUACCUGUUUCAAAUUUAGAGCUAAUUUUAUAGUACUUUGACCUCUAAGACUUCAAUAAGACAGCAUGGGCUAGUGGAUAAAAGGCUAUAUUGGAUCCCAGGGGACUGAGGUUCCCUUUUCAAUGCUGCUUGAGAAAAAUCACUCAAUCUCCCCACCUCAUUUCUCAAUCUAUAAAAUGUGGAAGUAAAAAUGUUACUAUAGUAUUUUCUUGGAGAGAUUAUAGUGAAUAUGAUGAAAUAUUUGCAAAAUCCUUUGACUAUCUUAAAGGAGAACUGAUUGUAAUAAGAAUUUAAAAUACUACUUUUUUUUUACUAAAAUGAGUAUUCUCUAACUACUUAUCUAUAUUGCCCUUAGCUAGUUCUUACAUUCUUAUCCUGGGAUUUAUUUGUAUUUUUAAAAAUGGGCUAAAAUACAGUUUUGCAUGACUAGAAUCUUGAUGAAUAAAUAGUAGAAAAAUUUAUGAAAUGAUUUCUACAUGUAAAGCAAUGAGAUAAGGGCUGGAGAUAAAUAUAGAAAAGUAAGACAGCCCCUGCUUUUGAGGAGCUCACAUUCAAAUUGGGGCAGAGAACACACAGAAAGUUUCAGCCUCAAGCUAGAUAAAAAGAUUGCAUGGUCUUUGGAGUACGUAGGCAAAGCAAAUUUAGUGAAGUAACUACACUGGACAUAUGAUUUAUAAUGAAUCAAAAUUACCUCUACACAUCAUAUUUAAUUUUACCUGAGUUGAGCUGUUAUAGUGAAAUUGUUUUUGACAAUGUAAAUUACAAUGUUAUCUGUUAAUAUGCUUUUUUCAGAUGAAUGCUUCCUAUCCCCUUUUAAUCACAUUUACACAUUGUAAGAAAUUAUAAGAGAAUAAAUCAGCGACUCCAUCCUUAAUAGAUCAAUCAUAACAUAUCAUUUUGACCUUGAAGGUAUAAAAGUUUGAAAUUGAACUCUGUCUCUAUAAUUGUUCAAUUGAUGUGUUUGACCUACUUACUUCCCAGAAUAACAAAUGAAGUCCUAAAGAAAAUCAUGCUCUUCCUACCUUUAAGACUUUUGUUUUCCUUAAAUUUCAAAAACUCAAGUUUCCUUGCUAAAGCAUUAUUCAGUAUUUCUUGGCUUUGUUGACAUAAUUCUAUUCAGAAAAAAAAUUAGGCUAUAGAAUGUUAGAAAAUAUAGGGAUUUUAGGCUAGUAAAACUCAUUUUGCAGAUUGGAACUUUAUGUCAAGAUUAGUGAAAUGACUUAUACCCCACUUAUGUUGCUAAUUAGUGACAAAAUUAGAACUAGAACCCAGGUUUUGUGACUCACUCCCAUACUCUUUUGUCUAUAUUCAUUCAUUUCUUCAACAAAUGUUUAAUUAAUCAUCUACACUGUAAAAGACACUUUCUUUGAAACCUGGUUCAUUUUACAUUAUGUCAAUAAGCACAUUUUGUGUGUGUGUUAUCAGUGAUAGAAUUGAAAUAAUUCAUUCUGAAAAUUCUAACUGCAAUGUCACAGACUCAUAGUAUGUUAUAGCUGGAAGGAACCUUAGAGAUUAUAUAGGUUAACACUAUCCUACAGAAAAGGAACCUAGAGGACAGACAGGGAAGGAGAUUUGUUUAAGGUUGCAUAGCUAAAGUGCUGAGAUUAGAAGUCAAGAGAAGUGUUUUUCCUUUAGUGUCAUCUUAUUAUUUUGAUAUGAUUUGCUAUUCCUUACGAUUUUCUUUUUUCUUAUGAUUUCUAAACUGAUUGAACCUUCAUCACUCACAUUGUGUUCAUAGAUAAUGGACUCAGAGAAGUGCCUUCAUUCCAACUUCCAGAGGUCCUCUGCUCUUGUUACUCUACCUACUGACAGCGUCAUGUAAUAUAUUUGUGACCUAACCGUUUAUGUCCUUUGACAGAUAUUUUUGUUUAAACAUUUAAAAACAAGGAACAAGAUUUGUUCAUCUAUAUAAAAUUAUUAACGGUGUAAGUAGCAGUAGCAAAGAUAGACCCUGUAAUAUUUAUGGAUCAAAAGAGAAGACAAACCCAUUUUCAUAAAUACACACACACCUGAAACAGACCCAGCCUAAUAUAAUAAUAAACAGGGAAUGUAAAUGGUGGGUAAAUGGCUUGGGGAUUAUUUGAAUGCUAAGUGAUAGUUACAACAUAUCCUAACAUUUGUUAACAAGCACAACCUGUGCAUGUUUCCAUAAAGCUGGUAGAUUAACAAAGCAUUCCCAAAAAUGAAAUGAUAAUAUGCCAUGUUAAGCAAUAUGCAUAGCUCAUUCUUUCAGCAAAUUUCAUUUGAAAAUCUGGUUUCAUUUCCUUGGGUUUUGUGCUGCCAAGGCUAAACCACUGAACAACUCUUGUCAUCAAGUUAUAAUGACAGCAUUUAAAAGUAGCUGCAUCAUAUUUGAUGAUACACAAAACCUAUGUACACAAAUAAACACAAGCUGUUCUUGCCAAGUUCACAUUUCUGGAGCAAUGAUUUGGAACUGAAGAACAGGAAAAGAGCUAAGUCAUGAAAAUUACUUUAGUGGUUUGUCACAAGGCUUCUCUCCACACUGUUGAAUGAUAUCUUUAUUCUACCAAAGACAGAGUGUGAGGCCAAGUAGCUUCCCGUUGUCCAGUCCUGUUCUCUCACAUCAUUCUAAAUUUACUCAGCAGUUAUGAUUUGGGUUUUGUUGACAUAAUAUAAAAGUCAACAAGAAGAGACAGGGAACUCAUUUUAGAACCCAACUUAACAAUUGGGAUUUUGCCACUGAUGAAAAUUCACACAGUUUCAGUAGGGUAAAAAAAAAUAUGCUGGUAAUACCCUUCUUGUAGAAAUGUAAUAAGUCAAAAGUAGCAAUACACCCAUCAAUCCAAUGCAACAGAAUCCAGAAUAGAGCUUUGUAAUACAGCUUUUUGAAAAGAUAGUUAGACUUGAAAGGACUUUUGAACCCCAAUGGUUCAGCAUGGCACUUUGAAAUUCUUUGGAAAGGCUGACAAAUCAGUGUCCAGAAAUCUCAGCUAUACUUUAACCCAAUGCCUGGCUAUAUCAUUCAAACUAUUCUGAAGUUUGCUACUUCUUUUAUGCAAAUCACAUGUCCUAUUUCUCUCUUUUUAGCCAAACCAAUAGAAGUCCCUUCCCCACCUUUUAAAAGUAACAGAACGCAUAUUUCUCCUAGAAAACUGUUACACAAACAUGAGAGGGAAUUGAAAGGAUAUAAAUGGAAGAAAGGAAGUAGACUUCAUUGCAAUGGCAACAGUGUUGCAUGUCAAAUAUGUUCUAUGUUCUCAUGUCUAGUCACAGAUAUGUAUCCAUAUAUACAUGCUGAAACAUAGCAUGCCAAAAAUGUUCCCUUUGAUAUUGGAACAGAGCAACUAAUCAAUUAAUCAUCCUGGUUCAUUAAUUCUUAAAAAAACAACCAAGAGUAAUAACAAGAACUGGGACACACAGGUAAAAUGCAUAGUUCAAUUGACAGUAUUAAAAAUGACUGCACAGAUUAUUUGACUCUCUUGCUGAGUUUAAUGAGUAUACUAAACAUAACUUUAGUUUUGGUUGUAAAUAUAUGUGUGGGGUUCCAUUUCCCUCCAGACCUAUAAUAUUAUCUCUGAGAAUCUCUGGCAUAGAAAUUUCUUAUAUAGAUUAUCAGAUCAGUUUUAUAGAGUUACUUGGGAGUACUGAGAGUUUAAGUCAUUUGCCCAUGAUCAUAUAGCUAAUAUGUGUCUGAGGCAGGACUUGAACCCGCUUCCAUUCUCCCGACUUCAUUCUGCCUCCCUGAAAAUGAGCUAUUGUACUUUAAAUAAUCAACAUUUCCAUAUAGAUGUGGAAAUUGCCAAAGCGGAGAAGGCAAAAGAAAAAAUUGUAAUUUUAACAUUUUAAUUCCAGAAAUGCAGAAAGAAUGAACACUUUGACUUAGCAAUUAGGUAUUGGAAUAAUAGAAAUCACAGAACUAUUUCAGACCUAAGGAAAUAAAGCCUACAUUUAAUCUCAUCGUGGUGCUGCAUGACAGAGUUUAAAGAAAUCAAAGUGUCAUGAUUCAUACCAUUAACACCUCCAGCUUUCCAGCAGCACCUUUGAUGUGCUAUAACCUCAUUUGAACAGAAGUGACAAUAGUCUUAGCUCAUCUUUGUUCAAAAACAUUUUUGACUAAGAGUGCUGAGAAAUCCCAUUCACGUUCAUUUUAUUCAGGUUUGCUGGAGCCUGGAUCUCCAUGUCUACUGAGAUGUACUUUUAGAAUGGGGGGCUUAAUAGGAUUUAUAGUGUAUAACUAGCUUAAAAGCUAUCCAAAUAGUACAAGGUCUAACAAAAGCUUAUUGUGAUUUAUUUCAGGGGGAUACUUUAUGCUCAUCCUAUUGAAAAAUGCUAUUAAGAGUGUGAUCUACAGCAAGCAGGUCAUGAGCUGCUACCUACCCCUUAGCUUAUUUGAUGAUCUGGAGUGGUUUUGUGCCAGAUUAGAGAAGUCGUAACGCACCGUACUAUGCCCAGAUUCUCAAACAGUGUACAAAUAAAGCAGAAUUCAUGUCGUUUUUUAAAGGAGAAAUUUUAGGAGUAAUACAAAAAGCAUAACUUCUAUAUGUUACAAAAUGCAAAAAGAGUCUUGGGAGUCCAUUCAGACUAUCUCAUUUACUAGGGAUAAUUUGGCCCACAGCUCAAUGUAUGAUCUUUGUCUUUUUAGUUUCUCUCCUGUUAUCUUUCUGUCAGAAGACUGUCAGCCAUUGAAAUAAAUAGCAAUUUCAAAUCAA